rnacentral:rRNA from 1 species
GGAACUGUGAGACAGGUGCUGCAUGGCUGUCGUCAGCUCGUGUUGUGAAAUGUUGGGUUAAGUCCCGCAACGAGCGCAACCCUUAUCCUUUGUUGCCAGCGGUUCGGCCGGGAACUCAAAGGAGACUGCCAGUGAUAAACUGGAGGAAGGUGGGGAUGACGUCAAGUCAUCAUGGCCCUUACGACCAGGGCUACACACGUGCUACAAUG